AGCAAUAAAAACUCUGCGUGAUACGUUUUUCUCUCUGGGUGGAAAUGGGGGUAGCUGAAAGACCCAGAUGAAGAAGUGGAUGAAUACUGCAUAUCUGAAGAAAUAAGCCUGCCAGGGGUAUCAGCAGGUUAAUAAAAAUAACAGCUCUGUUAAAAAUAGGGACAAGGGACCUCCUAUGGACAGCAUCAGACCUGGGAUUGGGGAGGAGCAGAUCUAUACAAAUAUACUAAUGUCCUCUGCUUUUCCCUGUCUGUGUGACUUUGCCCCGGGGGCAGUGUUGCUGAACAAGAGGAGUCGGUGGCUGGCUCCUCCGAGAAGGACUUCUCUUGGGAGGUGUCCAACAGCGAGUCUGUACCAGGGUCUUCGUUCUCCUUUGCCAUCUCUUUUGACUCUGCCUGGUGAGCCUUGUCACAGGGAGCAGAUGGAGGCUCGACCCCGUCCUGGCUCAGCUGGGUGUCCUGCUCCUGUGCCAGCCUGCAGCUCUCUAAGCCAUUCCCUGGGCGUUCGUUGUCCUGCUCCUCUGAGACAGACCCAUUGA
rnacentral:lncRNA from 1 species